rnacentral:misc_RNA from 1 species
UUGGGAAGAGAUAAGACCAUUGCAAUGGUAAAAGAAAGGUAUUUUUGGCCUCAAUUGCGCAAGGAUGUAACUAGAUUUGUUAUGAAGUGCUUUACUUGUCAAACUUCUAAGGGACAAUUUCAGAAUACUAGUUUAUACACGCCUUAGUCUAUGCCUGAAAGUAUUUAAGAAGAUUUAUCCAUGGAUUUUGUGUUAGGGUUGCCAAGAACACAAUGGGGAGUGGAUUUGGUAUUUGUGGUUGUUGAUAUAUUUUUCAAGAUGGC